rnacentral:rRNA from 1 species
CUACGGGACGCUGCAGUGAGGAAUAUUGGUCAAUGGGCGUAAGCCUGAACCAGCCAAGUAGCGUGAAGGAUGACUGCCCUCUGGGUUGUAAACUUCUUUUAUAGGGGAAUAAAGUGCAUCACGUGUGAUGUUUUGUAUGUACCCUACGAAUAAGGACCGGCUAACUCCGUGCCAGCAGCCGCGGUAAUACGGAGGGUCCGAGCGUUAUCCGGAUUUAUUGGGUUUAAAGGGUGCGCAGGCGGGAUGUUAAGUCAGUUGUGAAAGUUGGACGCUCAACGUUCAAAUUGCAAUUGAAACUGGCAUUCUUGAGUGCAGUGGAGGUAAGCGGAAUUCGUGGUGUAGUGGUGAAAUGCUUAGAUAUCACGAAGAACUCCGAUUGCGAAGGCAGCUUGCUAUACUGCAACUGACGCUCAUGCACGAAGGUGUGGGUAUCAAACAGGAUUAGAUACCCGAGUAGUC